UUGUCAGGUAGGAUAAUCCUUACCUGUUUCCCUAUUCAGAGGGCAGAUGGAAUAUGAUGAUUGGAGUUUGCAUGAUUCGUGAUUAAUGUCUCUGCAUGAUUAGGGCUCACAACUCCCUAAUCGCUCCUGUUGGAU
ensembl:snoRNA U8 U8 small nucleolar RNA